rnacentral:tRNA from 1 species
GUUUUAAUAGUUUAUUUAAAAUACCGGUCUUGUAAAUCGGAGAAAAGUCAACCCCCCACUUUUAAAACU